rnacentral:rRNA from 1 species
GACGAACGCUGGCGGCGUGCCUAAUACAUGCAAGUCGAACGAGAGCGACCGGUGCUUGCACUGGUCAAUCUAGUGGCGAACGGGUGAGUAACACGUGGGUAACCUGCCCAUCAGAGGGGGAUAACAUUCGGAAACGGAUGCUAAAACCGCAUAGGUCUUUGAACCGCAUGGUUUGAAGAGGAAAAGAGGCGCAAGCUUCUGCUGAUGGAUGGACCCGCGGUGCAUUAGCUAGUUGGUGAGGUAACGGCUCACCAAGGCCGUGAUGCAUAGCCGACCUGAGAGGGUGAUCGGCCACAUUGGGACUGAGACACGGCCCAAACUCCUACGGGAGGCAGCAGUAGGGAAUCUUCCGCAAUGGACGCAAGUCUGACGGAGCAACGCCGCGUGAGUGAAGAAGGUUUUCGGAUCGUAAAACUCUGUUGUUAGAGAAGAACAAGUGCUAGAGUAAC